GACGAACGCUGGCGGCGUGCUUAACACAUGCAAGUCGAACGGAAAGGCCCUGCUUUUGUGGGGUGCUCGAGUGGCGAACGGGUGAGUAACACGUGAGUAACCUGCCCUUGACUUUGGUAUAACUUCAGGAAACUGGGGCUAAUACCGGAUAGGAGCUCCUGCUGCAUGGUGGGGGUUGGAACGUUUCGGCGGUUGGGGAUGGACUCGCGGCUUAUCAGCUUGUUGGUGGGGUAGUGGCUUACCAAGGCUUUGACGGGUAGCCGGCCUGUGAGGGUGACCGGCCACAUUGGGACUGAGAGACGGACCAGACGCCUACGGGAGGCAGCAGGGGGGAAUAUUGCACAAUGGGAGGAAGCCUGAGGCAGAAACGCCGCGUGCGGGAUGACGGCCUUCGGGUUGUAAACAGCUGUCGCCUGUGACGAAGCGUGAGUGACGGUAAUGGGUAAAGAAGCACCGGCUAACUACGUG
rnacentral:rRNA from 1 species